CCCUUAGACGUUCUGGGCCGCACGCGCGCUACACUGACCAGUGCAACAAGCAUCCGUCCUUGGCCGACAGGCUCGGGCAAUCUUUGAACGCUGGUCGUGAUGGGGAUAGACUUUUGCAAUUUUUGGUCUUCAACGAGGAAUUCCUAGUAAACGCGAGUCAUCAACUUGCAUUGAUUACGUCCCUGCCCUUUGUACACACCGCCCGUCGCACCUACCGAUUGAAUGGUCCGGUGAAGCCUCCGGAUUGGCGCGCACCUCGGUGCCGCCGAGAAGUUGGCUAAACCUUACCAUUUAGAGGAAGGUGAANUCGUANCA
rnacentral:rRNA from 1 species